CCCCCAGGCAUUUCCAUGGGAAUGGCCGCACGGGGCCCCGGGCACCCACAAUGGUGCUGUCGCCGGCAAAGCCCGGAGCUGGAGCGCGGCCAGGGCGCGGGGCCGGGCCGCCCCCGGCCCUGGGUGCCUGCAGGGCCCGGAGCUGGGCCGCCCUCCUCGGCCCCGUCCACACACCCGCAGCCGCCUCUCCUCCUGGUUUUCUGUCCCACCUGCGGCUCCAGGCCGGCCCAGCCCCCUCGGUUUUCAUUGAGACAUUUUAUCCCCCCGCAGAUUCCUGGGCCCCAGCCGCCCCCUGCCCCACCUGCCUGCUUUUGAAAGCAUGUGCCCUCUGGCCGAAACCACAGCCACAGCGUUCCCACCGCCACCUCCCCAGCCCGGGGGAGCCCCUCUCCCUCACCUCCCUGGGACAUCCCUCCGGGGCAGGGUCUGGCCCAGGAACACUCAGGUCUCCCCCAUUUCACGGCUGCUUUAGAGCACGGAGGCCCCCGAGCCACUCGCAGCAGCCCAGCCUGCCUCAGGUACCCCAUUUAGUAUCAAUUGCUGAUUUGACAAGUGCCUGUCCACUCCAGCCGUCUCCCACGGAUCCCCAGCUGCUCGCUCUCAAUGGGAUUUUAUUACAGUUGCAGACAUGCCCCAACUCAGACAUUUCUAAGAAUGUUUUUGCAGGACUGGCACUUUCAGAUCUCCCUCUCCCUGACCUCUCUGGUGACAGCCUCAGGCAACGGGGGCUCAGCCUGGGAGACUCCCAGGGACACCCACCAGGGCUUGAGACUUUAUCCUGGUACCAAAGCACCCACGGUGAACAGCCCCAAGAGACCCCCAUGCUCCCAGCCACUUCUGCCCAGGUGCUGGGCAGGCUGCAGGCAGACCCCAGCCUUGCCCUGCGGGGUGAUGGCAGUAACCAGCAUGGGAAAUUGCUGCCUCAGCCCAAGCACCCUGCCCACUGCUCAGCCAGGCUGGCCUUUUCACACUGAAACGAUCUGGGAAAGAAGAGACCCAAGCUGAGAUGAGACACUGACUCAACCCAUAAUUAUCUGAAACCAUCGCCAGCCCUUUCAGCCCUUCCCAUUGCAGAGCAGCAUCGACAAGCAGAAACCACGAGCAUCAGCAUCAAAUAUCAAGUUGUCACAGCUACCUGGGCUGAGGACAAACUGAUGUGCCGCUCUGCAGAAAGAACAACAUCAAAAUCGUUCCCAUUUCCAGCCACAGCAAAUGAGAAACCCAGCUGAAAGACUCAGAAGAUGCCCUCGAUGUAGGAGCAUCUGCAAAGCCUCAGUGGCAGACCAGGCCCUGCUGUGCAAGGUCCUCUACAAACACUCACAGGGAUAUCCUGCCGGAGACACAGCACUUGGAGCCUGAACAGGCAGAAAAACCUACAGGAGGGACAACAAAACAUCAAGAUAAUAACAGUCAGCAGGUCUCAGUGGCUCAGAGAGUUAAGGAAAUAACAACAAAUGAGUUAUUUUAAAGAAAUAUAUAUAUUUUUUAAGGAACGGCAUUUGUUUUCAGGGAGAGCAAGCUCAAGUGGGAAAGCAACCUGGAAGAAACAGGAAGGUGUUAAUUUGCAAUGCAAACAGGUGUGUGAAACCCAGAGGAGGUGGGAGGGCGAGAUGAUACUACUGCAUGGGGUGGGCUGGGAAGAAUCUUGAAAAUGAAAACCAGCCAGAAUAACAGCUGGAAAUGACCCAUGCAUCUUGCCAUAUGCUAUGAUGGACAUGAUUGUAAAACCCUUUCAAUUAUAUUUUCUGUGUCCUGCCAUUUCAUGCCCCAAGAAAACAAAUAAAGUGUCACAGCAUUUGGGAAGAUAAAUGGAAAGGAUUAUAUUUGCCUUGGUCAAAGAAUAGGACUUCGUAUUUAUAUGCAGGCAAAAUGCCACCAGAUGAAGCUUUUUACAGGACACCUCAGGAGCUUACUGUACCACCAAACAACCCUGCUGUACUCCCAGCCUUAGCUAUAGCUGAAUUGCAGUCACACCAUGUGUCUGGCUCCAGCUCACCAAAACAGAGCUGGGGAUGUCCAGCACUGCUGGCAAACACAGCAGCUCCCCACGCUCCACCAGGCGAACCCCAGGCGAGUAAAUCUAGAUCAGGCCCUUACAGAAAGUGCCCAGCGGCAAGGAUUCAGACAACACUCGUGAGAUUGCCAGCUCCAUGACACCCUUCUUCGGCAAGUCUCAAGUCCCUGCCUAUGGGAGGGAAAUUAAAGCCUUCCCUGCACAGAUUUUAAGCUCACAGUAGUCAUCAGCUCAGCUUGGCUGACCUGGCAUAAUGCUGGGUACUAGUUCUACUCACACUGUAUCAGUAUUUGCAUUAUUUUGAAAACUCAUACUAAUUAAUUCUCCUCUGGUCUUCCUGGUCUUUCUGAAUAUUUCAAAAUUCAUUCAAAACCAAGGCUACAUUGCAGUCAAGUAUCUUAGGACUUUUGCAGUUUAUCACUAGUCUAGCAUCCUCCUUCAGCAAUGAACUCAAAAGUCCUGCUUCUUUCCAAACACUCGUAGUUCAAAAUUUUCAAAUACAGAAUUUAUUUUUAACA